rnacentral:misc_RNA from 1 species
GAUGAAGAACGUGGCGAAAUGCGAUAAGUAAUGUGAAUUGCAGAAUUCAGUGAAUCAUCGAAUCUUUGAACGCACAUUGCGCCCAUUAGUAUUCUAGUGGGCAUGCCUGUUCGAGCGUCAUUAAGUCCACUUAAGCCCUGCUUAGUGUUGGGAGACUGCUCCAGCGGUGCUACCCUGUAGCUACCCUGCAGCUCCUCAAAGACAGCGGCGGAGUUGUGGUAUCCUCUGAGCUUAGUAACUUGUUCUAGCUUUCGAGUACACCACUUCCCCUGCCGUAAAACCCUUAAUUUUUAAUGGUUGACCUCGGAUCAGGUAGGAAUACCCGCUGAACUUAAGCAUAUCAAUAAGCGGAGGA